AGUGUAAUUGUUGGGUCAUAUGGUAGUUGCAUGUUUAUUUUAUUUUUUUUAAGAAACUGCCAAGCUGUUUUCCAGAGUGAAGUUACCAUUUUACACUCCCACCAGCAAU
rnacentral:pre_miRNA from 1 species